rnacentral:rRNA from 1 species
GACGAACGCUGGCGGCGUGCUUAACACAUGCAAGUCGAACGAAGCUUGAUUUAUGAUUUCUUCGGAAUGAAUAAUGAUAUGACUGAGUGGCGGACGGGUGAGUAACGCGUGAGCAACCUGCCCUUCGGAGGGGGAUAGCGUCUGGAAACGGACGGUAAUACCGCAUAAAGUGUCUUGACCGCAUGAUCGAGAUACCAAAACUGAGGUGCCGAAGGAUGGGCUCGCGUUGGAUUAGAUAGUUGGUGGGGUAACGGCCUACCAAGUCGACGAUCCAUAGCCGGACUGAGAGGUUGAACGGCCACAUUGGGACUGAGACACGGCCCAGACUCCUACGGGAGGCAGCAGUGGGGAAUAUUGCACAAUGGGGGAAACCCUGAUGCAGCAACGCCGCGUGAAGGAAGACGGUUUUCGGAUUGUAAACUUCUGUUCUUAGUGAAGAAUAAUGACGGUAGCUAAGGAGCAAGCCACGGCUAACUACGUGCCAGCAGCCGCGGUAAAG